UACAGGGGGUGCAACCGUUGCUCGGAAUCAUUGGGCGUAAAGCGCACGUAGGCGGUUCGUUAUGUCGGAUGUGAAAGCCCUUGGCUUAACCGAGGAAGUGCAUCCGAAACUGGCGAGCUAGAGUACUAAAGAGGAUCGCGGAAUUCCCGGUGUAGAGGUGAAAUUCGUAGAUAUCGGGAGGAACACCGGUGGCGAAGGCGGCGCUCUGGAACGUUUCUGACACUGAGGCUCGAAAGCGUGGGGAGCAAACAGG
rnacentral:rRNA from 1 species